UACGGAGGGUGCGAGCGUUGUCCGGAAUCAUUGGGCGUAAAGGGCGCGUAGGUGGCCCGGUCAGUCCGUGGUGAAAGCGCGGGGCUCAACCCCGCGUCGGCCAUGGAUACUGCUGGGCUGGAGCACUGUAGAGGCAGGCGGAAUUCCGGGUGUAGCGGUGGAAUGCGUAGAGAUCCGGAAGAACACCGGUGGCGAAGGCGGCCUGCUGGGCAGUUGCUGACACUGAGGCGCGACAGCGUGGGGAGCAA
rnacentral:rRNA from 1 species